rnacentral:lncRNA from 1 species
GUACUUGCCUGGCAUGUGCUAAGACAGUAGAAUGAGACAGAUAUUAUUAGCUUAUAUACAUUUAUGGUUAUACUACUGGAGUGACUCUUCACCAAAAUGUACAGCCAGAAAAUGAGAAGUAGUGCUGCGUAUGUGUACAAUAUGUCAAAAAUGCAUUCUACUGUAAAAUUAAUUAAUUAACAACUAAAAAAUUAAUAAAAUAUACACACAUAAAGAAAUGAAUGUAAUCCUCCUGGGGGCUUUAAGAUUAUGUGCUGUUCAUAACUUUAAUUAAGAAAAAAUUUUAAACAUAUCCUUAUCCUGUGAAAUUAAGCAGUUUUGUAUGUUUAAGUUGUAAUUUGUAAAUGCCUUGAAACAAGCUAUUUCCUUGUAUCUUCCACAACACAUAGAAAAUUACUUAUAAUAUAUGAUUAAUAUAUUUAUUAAUAUAUGACUGAUAAAUAUCUUAUUAAUCCACUAUAAAAAGUGUUUCUGCCUAUAAUAUCAUAAUAGAAAUUUUAAGGCUCUGCUUACAGAAAAUAAUCAGAGAAACAAAGUUUUAUACAAGAUGUUACUUCCAACAUUAUUGGUAUUAGAUUUUUUUUAAAAGGAGGAAGGAUUAGGGAUUAUGAUACCCAUAGUAAGCCGUUGGGCUGUUGUGGAAAAAAUGCCCUUGGAAGCAGAGAGUCCAAACCCCCUGAAUUCUCAGCUUAUACCUAAGAGUUGUGUGAUUGAUUUCUAACUUUUGUUUUGUAAAGUGGGAAUAAUGAUAUCAUAUAGCUGUGGUUAAUGUGAAAAUUAUAUAUUAAAUAAAACUCUCUGUACAUGAUAGCUAUCAUUUCAACAUCUAUGAAGAAGAAACAGUUAACCUACAGUUAAGCCCAAUACUGCUAGCAUUUAAUUUUCUGAAUUCAACUGUACCUACUGGGUAAUAUUUUAUUACUUUCCUAGUAAAUACAAUUAAUCAUUGAAAAAGUCAGUUUUUCAGCCAAAUUUAUCAAAGCCUGCGUGAAAUAUUUUAGAUUUUUUUUUAGUUGUCAGUGAACCUUUAUUUUAUUUAUUUAUAUGUGGUGCUGAGAAUCAAACCCAGUGCCUCACACAUGCUAGGCAAGUGCUCUACCACUGAGCUACAACUCCAGCCCCUGAGUGAAAUAUUUUAAAGAUGUUUUUUUCCUCUAGCAUUGAAAAAAAGUGUGGAACACCUUGUUCAGAUUAUAAUUAUUUCACCAAAACCCAGGCAGAAGACAUUGAAAAAGUUAUGGAUAUUUUUCCUGUAAAUUAUAUUAUUCAAAUUUCCUAUAAUGAACAUGCAUUUCAGAAUCAGAAAAAUUUUAUUAAAAAUAAAUUGAAAGGCAGAGGCAAUCAUGGUGCAAAACUAAAUGAGAGGAGAGAAUUUGAGAGGAGCAAUGUGGCUUGAAAACAGCCCUACUAUUUGACACAGAUAAAGUUUGUCUGAUGUGGGGUGAAACUUCCUCUUGGUUUCUUUUCACAAAUUUAGAUUCUGGCUGAUAACAGAACCACAAAUGGUCCAAAGGACUCAAAAAACUUUCCAAAUAUUAUUUUGUUAGUUGAUGCUCACAAUUUUUAUAGGCAAUCACAUUUGUGAAAUUCUGAAACUCACAAGAGGGGAUCCACUUUCAGGGAGUCAGGGACUAGUACAACUUGGGUUUCUCAUAAGCUAGAUCCACUACUCAUGUAGGGAUCUAAAGAGAGCCUCUAGUCUUAAAAUCAUGGGAAUCCUUCCUGGCGAGAUUAAUAAAUAGCCCUAUUGAAUUAAACUGUUUCGUUCUUGUACCAUUGCUGAUGUUCAGAGGAACAGUUGCUUAUAUAAUAAUUGUUUAAUGUAUUUCAUUGGAGUUUAAUUAUAUUUAUGGUUUACUUAUUUAUUUUCACAAAAAAAUGGGGCUAAUGUGAUGAUUUGUUUCUGUUUGAUGUAUCAGGACAAAGUUGUUUGGUAUCUUUAUGUGACAAGAAAAUGAUAUGGGGAAUGAUUUAAAUUACUGCUUAUAAUAAAGAUACAAAUUCUUUGCAUUUGAAACUAAUACAGAGUUUAGAAAUGAUAUCUUAAAUGAAUAUGUCAUUCAGUUUAUUGCUUUAAAGUGAGUCUGAAGACAUUUAUAACAAUCUAGAUAAAUUUAAAAGAAAUUAUAUAUUUGGGUAUAAUAUCUUUAUAUAUGAUUCUACAUCAGCACCCACAUUAAAAAAAAGCUAUUCUAAAUAACUUGAAAUGGAAUCUUAUAAUCCCCAAAUUAUUAAAGAAUAAUCAAAGCUUUUUGAAUUCUUCAUAUAAUAUAUUCUAUUCACAGCACUUUUAAAAGGUUUAUAAGAAAGAGCCAGACUAUGAAUUAUAGAGAAAGUAAAAUCUCAUGAAAG